AACGAACGCUGGCGGCAGGCUUAACACAUGCAAGUCGAACGGAUGUGGGUUCUUUCGGGGACCUAUGUUAGUGGCAGACGGGUGCGUAACGCGUGGGAAUUUGCCUCUUGGCACGGAAUAACUUCAAGAAAUUGGAGCUAAUACCGUAUACGCCCAUAUUUAUUUAUGGGGAAAGAUUAAUUUACCGAGAGAGAAGCCCGCGUUGGAUUAGCUAGUUGGUAGGGUAAAAGCCUACCAAGGCUACGAUCCAUAGCUGGUCUGAGAGGAUGAUCAGCCACACUGGGACUGAGACACGGCCCAGACUCCUACGGGGGGCAGCAGUGGGGAAUAUUGGACAAUGGGCGCAAGCCUGAUCCAGCCAUGCCGCGUGAGUGAAGAAGGCCUUCGGGUUGUAAAGCUCUUUCAUUGGUGAAGAUAAUGACGGUAACCAAAGAAGAAGCCCCGGCUAACUUCGUGCCAGCCGCCGCGGUAAUAC
rnacentral:rRNA from 1 species